ACUGAAUUUGUUCAUUCAACUAAAAAUUUUAAGUUUUCAGUGUCUCAACUAGUUUAAAAGUUGAAUGAACUAGGUUAUUUGUCCUCAUAACUUAAAAAAAUGUGUUGACUCAAUUCAAUAGCAAUAUCACGUUCACAACAUCACUUAAUCUGGAGAUUCUCGUGAAGGCUGUUGAAGACAGAAGAAGGUCGUCAGCCAUACUAGUCAGUUUCUCCUCAAAGUUUGGACAUUUUACUAGAAUACAACUUUGAUUGAGCGCAGAGUUCAAUAAUCCUGUGGAUGGACCGCAGCGAGUCCUUUUGCAGUUAUCCAUCAAAAUGCUAUGCAGACAUAAUGGAAAUGGCAUUUACAUUGUAGAACUUGGACAAAGUUCACACAGGCUCUGCGCAGGAAUUCAUCAAGGACAUGACUGCUGGGAUUACGCUUGUGGAUGACCAAUCUGAGCACCAUCAGUCUGCAGUGAUGUGGUCCAGCCAUCCAGUGACAUUAAGGAUGUUGAGAAAGAAAUUGAAAAGGGCAUUCUGAUUGCAACUGAGGAACAGCAAUAUGAUGUGCUUCCCAAGGAAUAACCAACAUUGGUCUCAUUUGGACAUCCUGUCAUCACUGACAUCUCCCAUGUCCCCAAGGCAUUUGAACUCCUAAUGGGUCUUUAUGCAGUGAACAUCCACUACUUCCAGCGCAUUAAAUACACUAUUGAGGCUCUGCAAAAACUUGUGAAGAUCAGCUGCUCCCACCAUGUGCUCGCUACAGCGGCAGGAACUGUAGGUGUGGGGAAGUGAAUGUCCAGCGCUCUCUCCACCCUCAACACCACAAAUAAGGUGUCCUUGAGCAAGGCACAACUUCUCCCCGGGCGCUGCAGCAUAAAUGGCUGCCCACUGCUCUGGGUGUGUAUUCACAGUGUGUGUUCACUGCUGUGUGUGUGCACUUUGGAUGGGUUAAAUGAAGAGCACAAAUGUAUGUCAUGUCACUUUCACUUUUCAUACACUAAUUUUUUGUAACUAAUUGUGAUAUUAUAUACAUAUAUCUUGGUUUAUCAUUUUGACCAUGACUUGCAUUAUGGUGGGGGGAGUGCAUGUGAACUUGUGCAGGGUUAAUAUGCAGAGUUCAACCUUCAGAUUUUCAUAUUGAGUUAUGAAAUUAAAAACAAUCCCUGUGGUUUUGAUCUGAUGAAUUGAAAUGCAACUAUUUGUUUCUCAAUCCCAUGCCAAUGUUAUUUAUUAUACAUCACACUUUCAAGUGUCGGUUCAGAUCUUUAGGCUUGUGUUUGUAUUUUGCAUUUUUUGUUUUGUUUAUCAAUUAUCAGUUGAUGUGUUGACAGCAAAUUGCUUGUUCAAUUUAAAUGUGAAUUAAAAAGUGUUGUCUCUAUUAUUAAAUAAAUGA